AAAUUGAAGAGUUUGAUCAUGGCUCAGAUUGAACGCUGGCGGCAGGCCUAACACAUGCAAGUCGAGCGGUAGCACAGAGAGCUUGCUCUCGGGUGACGAGCGGCGGACGGGUGAGUAAUGUCUGGGAAACUGCCUGAUGGAGGGGGAUAACUACUGGAAACGGUAGCUAAUACCGCAUAAUGUCGCAAGACCAAAGUGGGGGACCUUCGGGCCUCAUGCCAUCAGAUGUGCCCAGAUGGGAUUAGCUAGUAGGUGGGGUAAUGGCUCACCUAGGCGACGAUCCCUAGCUGGUCUGAGAGGAUGACCAGCCACACUGGAACUGAGACACGGUCCAGACUCCUACGGGAGGCAGCAGUGGGGAAUAUUGCACAAUGGGCGCAAGCCUGAUGCAGCCAUGCCGCGUGUGUGAAGAAGGCCUUCGGGUUGUAAAGCACUUUCAGCGGGGAGGAAGGCGGUGAGGUUAAUAACCUC
rnacentral:rRNA from 1 species